rnacentral:misc_RNA from 1 species
GAUGAAGAACGUAGUGAAAUGCGAUAAGUAAUGUGAAUUGCAGAAUUCAGUGAAUCAUCGAAUCUUUGAACGCACAUUGCGCCCGCCAGUAUUCUGGCGGGCAUGCCUGUCUGAGCGUCAUUUCAACCCUCAUGCCCCUAGGGCGUGGUGUUGGGGAUCGGCCAAAGCCCGCGAGGGACGGCCGGCCCCUAAAUCUAGUGGCGGACCCGUCGUGGCCUCCUCUGCGAAGUAGUGAUAUUCCGCAUCGGAGAGCGACGAGCCCCUGCCGUUAAACCCCCAACUUUCUCAGGUUGACCUCAGAUCAGGUAGGAAUACCCGCUGAACUUAAGCAUAUCAAUAAGCGGAGGA